rnacentral:lncRNA from 1 species
AUUUCCUAAACUAUCCCUGUACUAACUUCUUCUGGCCCUUUAUUUUUUUCUUUUUUUUCUUCCUCUCAUUAUAUGGCUUUAUCUUAUCAAUUUCUUAUCAUGAAUAGUCCAAAUUCUAAAUCCUAAAAUAUUUCAUAAUUUGUUAAGUUUUUCAUGUUUAAGUGGAGUUUGAAAAUAGAGGGAUAAUUGUCUAUAUAUUCCUCAAAACUUCGAAAAUAUUUUAUUUACCUCUAUUUUUUUUUCUUUCCAAUAUAUCUCUCAUAUUUUUUUCGGUUAUUUCAAAAUACUUCUGCAGUUAUUAUCCGUUAAAUUAACUUGAGUUAAACGUGAGUUAAAUAUCUAUUAGAGUUUAAAAAAAUUAAAAUAUCUUUUUUGCUCUUAACUUAAGGGCAAAUAAGAAAUAUUGGUGACGGUAGAAGGAUAUAUUUGAAAAGAUAAAAAAUCAAAAUAUUUUUUGUGUCCCUAACUUAAGGGCAAAUAAGAAAAGUUGGUAAUGGUGGAAACGUAUAUUUGAAAGGGCAAAAUAGUAAUUUCAUACAGAUAACAGCUAUUGCUAGCCGUUCAUUAACAGAAUUUAACUCCAAGGGUAUAUUUGAAAUAGGUUGGAAUGUAAAAAAUGUAUUUUAAAUAUUAGCCUUCUAAGAUAAAUAAAUCAGAAAGUUGAAAACUUUUCAGGAAUAAGCAAUUGCCCCUCAAAAAUAUAUUAACUAAGUCUGCAGACCAAAAAGCAAUAAUAACAAAAGAUUCUUACAUAUACAUGUUAUGUACAAAUAUUAAUAGAAAAAUAAAGAUAAAAAUAUAUAAAAUUUAUUCGAACUGUAAUAGACCGUUUUGAUUCAACUAUACAAUCUUUCAAAUUUUUUUAUCUUUGUAUACAACCUUUCAGUAUAUUUGAUUUAAAUUAUUUGAUGACUCUUCGGAUAUAAAAUUUAAGCUAAUUAUUUAUUUUAAUAAAUUUAUAAUUAUAUAAAUUGUAUAAAAUAUAUUAACUUAAUUGACUCAAAUCAAAUAAAUUAAUAGAAUAGAUAGAAAAAUUAGAAUUUUUAUAAAUU